UUUCUUUUUGAUGACAUAUAGUUCAGUUGAGUUCUCCUAUGAUAACUAUCGAACUGUAGCAACGGUCUUUCGCUCCUAUCUGAUAAUGUGU
rnacentral:snoRNA from 1 species